UACGUAGGUGGCAAGCGUUGUCCGGAUUUACUGGGCGUAAAGAGCGCGCAGGCGGUCGUGCAAGUCGCGUGUGAAAGCCCCCGGCUCAACUGGGGAGGGUCACGCGAUACUGCUCGACUCGAAGGCAGGAGAGGGAAGCGGAAUUCCCGGUGUAGUGGUGAAAUGCGUAGAUAUCGGGAGGAACACCAGUGGCGAAGGCGGCUGCCUGGCCUGUUCUUGACGCUGAGGCGCGAAAGCUAGGGGAGCAAACGGG
rnacentral:rRNA from 1 species